rnacentral:SRP_RNA from 1 species
GCAGUGACGCAAUCUCGGCUCACUGCAACCUUCGCCUCUCGGGAGGCUGAGGUGGGAGGAUCGCUUGAGCCCAGGAGUUCUGGGCUGUAGUGCGCUAUGCCGAUCGGGUGUCCGCACUAAGUUCGGCAUCAAUAUGGUGACCUCCCGGGAGCGGGGGACCACCAGGUUGCCUAAGGAGGGGUGAACCGGCCCAGGUCGGAAACGGAGCAGGUCAAAACUCCCGUGCUGAUCAGUAGUGGGAUUGCGCCUGUGAAUAGCCACUGCACUCCAGCCUGGGCAACAUAGUGAGACCCUG